AUAUCAAUAAGCGGAGGAAAAGAAACUAACAAGGAUUCCCCUAGUAACUGCGAGUGAAGCGGGAAAAGCUCAAAUUUAAAAUCUGGUGGUCCUUUGGCCAUCCGAGUUGUAAUUUAGAGAAGCGUCUUCCGCGCUGGACCGUGCAUAAGUCUCCUGGAAUGGAGCGUCAUAGAGGGUGAAAAUCCCGUCUGUGACCGGUUGCGAGUUCGUUUACGAUACGCACUCUAAGAGUCGAGUUGUUUGGGAUUGCAGCUCAAAACGGGUGGUAAACAUCACCUAAGGCUAAAUAUUGGCGAGAGACCGAUAGCGCACAAGUA
rnacentral:rRNA from 1 species